CGCCGCGUGGAGGAUGACGCAUUUCGGUGUGUAAACUCCUUUUAUAAGGGAAGAUAAUGACGGUACCUUAUGAAUAAGCACCGGCUAACUCCGUGCCAGCAGCCGCGGUAAUACGGAGGGUGCAAGCGUUACUCGGAAUCACUGGGCGUAAAGGAUGCGUAGGCUGGAAAUCAAGUCGAGAGUGAAAUCCAACGGCUCAACCGUUGAACUGCUCUCGAAACUGGUUACCUAGAAUAUGGGAGAGGUAGAUGGAAUUGGUGGUGUAGGGGUAAAAUCCGUAGAUAUCACCAGGAAUACCGAUUGCGAAGGCGAUCUACUGGAACAUUAUUGACGCUGAGGCAUGAAAGCGUGGGGAGCAAACAGGAUUAGAUACCCUGGUAGUCCACGCCCUAAACGAUGCACACUAGUUGUUGCGAUGCUAGUCAUUGCAGUAAUGCACUUAACAGAUUAAGUGUGCCGCCUGGGGAGUACGGUCGCAAGAUUAAAACUCAAAGGAAUAGACGGGGACCCGCACAAGCGGUGGAGCAUGUGGUUUAAUUCGAAGAUACACGAAGAACCUUACCUGGCCUUGAUAUCCUAAGAAUCCUUUAGAGAUAAUGGAGUGCUAGUUUACUAGAACUUAGAGACAGGUGCUGCACGGCUGUCGUCAGCUCGUGUCGUGAGAUGUUGGGUUAAGUCCCGCAACGAGCGCAACCCUCGUGAUUAGUUGCUAACAGUUCGGCUGAGCACUCUAAUCAGACUGCCUUCGCAAGGAGGAGGAAGGUGAGGACGACGUCAAGUCAUCAUGGCCCUUAUGGCCAGGGCUACACACGUGCUACAAUGGCUAGGACAAAGAGACGCGAUACUGCGAAGUGGAGCAAAUCUUAAAACCUAGUCUCAGUUCGGAUUGGAGUCUGCAACUCGACUCCAUGAAGCUGGAAUCGCUAGUAAUCGUAGAUCAGAUAUGCUACGGUGAUACGUUCCCGGGUCUGUACUCACCGCCCGUCACACCAUGGAGUUGAAUUCACCCGAAGC
rnacentral:rRNA from 1 species